GGUUCGAUUCUGGCUCAGAUUGAACGCUGGCGGGAUGCUUUACACAUGCAAGUCGAACGGCAGCACGGACUUCGGUCUGGUGGCGAGUAGCGAACAGGUGAGUAAUGUAUCGGAACGUGCCUAAUGGCAGGAUAACUACGCUAGCGUAGCUAAUACCGCAUACGCCCUUCGGGGAAAGCAGGACCUUCGGGCCUCGCCACUAAUAGAGCAGCCGAUAUCGGAUUAGCUAGUUGGUGGGGUAACGGCUCACCAAGGCGGCGAUCCGUAGCUGGUUUGAGAGGACGACCAGCCACACUGGGACUACGAGACACGGCCCAGACUCCUGGGAGGCAGCAGUGGGGAAUUUUGGACAAUGGGGAAACCUGAUCCAGCCAUCGCGUGUGCGAUGAAGGCCUUCGGUUGUAAAGCACUUUUGGCAGGGAAAGAAACGGCACGGGAUAAUACCCCGUGCAACUGACGGUACCUGCAGAAUAGCGCCGGCUAACUACGUGCCAGCAGCCGCGGUAAUACGUAGGAGUGCAAGCGUUAAUCGGAAUUACUGGGCGUAAAGCGUGCGCGGGCGGUUCGGAAGAAAGAUGUGAAAUCCCAGAGCUUAACUUUGGAACUGCAUUUUUAACUACCGAGCUAGAGUGUGU
rnacentral:misc_RNA from 1 species